rnacentral:rRNA from 1 species
AUUAAACGCUGGCGGCAUGCCUUACACAUGCAAGUCGAACGGUAGCGCGGGGCAACCUGGCGACGAGUGGCGAACGGGUGAGUAAAGCAUCGGAACGUGCCCUGGAAUGGGGGAUAACGUAGCGAAAGUUACGCUAAUACCGCAUAUUCUGUGAGCAGGAAAGCAGGGGAUCGCAAGACCUUGCGUUCUGGGAGCGGCCGAUGUCGGAUUAGCUAGUUGGUGGGGUAAAAGCCUACCAAGGCGACGAUCCGUAGCGGGUCUGAGAGGAUGAUCCGCCACACUGGGACUGAGACACGGCCCAGACUCCUACGGGAGGCAGCAGUGGGGAAUUUUGGACAAUGGGCGGAAGCCUGAUCCAGCCAUGCCGCGUGAGUGAAGAAGGCCUCGGUUGUAAGAC